UUUCAUGGCAUUUGGUGAGGUUUGACUCAACAACACCUGCACAGGAGGGUUUCAGUAUCAAAGAUAAUCAGAAGGAGGGAGGCGUGAUAACCACAGGGCUGAAAGGUUCAAUAACAACAUGAAAAAGCAAGUCAUCCUGUAACUGUACUCUAGUGCCAAGCAGCACCGCAGCAUCAUAUUAGAUUUCCCUGUAUUGUUAUGUUUGUUAUGAGACUGUAUUAACACUGUAAGAUGCAACCAAUCAGCAGCUUUAUACUGAUAAUCCGUUUACAAGGCUUAAAAACACAGGAUUAGAGCGUUUAUGGCACAUUGCAUCACCUGGGUGACUCACCAUGUUGAAUAAUCGCAACCGAAGCCUGAAAACCUCUUUGGAUCCACCCUCCUCCAUGACAACACAACAAACCGCAUCAGCUAACGGACCUCUCCUUGCCUCCUCACCCUCCUCCUCCUCCCCAUCCUCCUCACCUCCACCAGCGGCAGGUCAGGGUCCAG